CCUACGGGUGGCAGCAGUGGGGAAUAUUGGACAAUGGGGGGAACCCUGAUCCAGCGACGCCGCGUGAGUGAAGAAGGAGUGCGGGAUGUAAAGCUCUAUCAGCAGGGAAGAAAAUGACGGUACCUGACGAAGAAGCCCCGGCUAACUACGGGCCAGCAGCCGCGGUAAGACGUAGGGGGCAAGCGGUAUCCGGAUUUACUGGGUGUAAAGGGAGCGUAGACGGUGCAGCAAGUCUGAUGUGAAAGGUCGGGGCCCAACCCCGGGACUGCCUUGGAAACUGUUGAAAUGGAGUCCAGGAGAGGUACGCGCAAUUCCUCUUGUAUCGGUGAACUGCGUAGAUAUUAGGUGGCACCCCAGUCGCGACGGCGGCUUACUGGACUGUAACUGCCGUUGAGGCUCGUCAGCGUUUGGAGCACACAGGAUUAGAUACCCCGGUAGUC
rnacentral:rRNA from 1 species